UUUGAAGCGGUUUUCUUCUGCCAUACAUUUGAUCACUGGUUAUUUUUGUUUAUGAGAGGAUAAGUGCUUAUCAUUCACCAAUUGCAAGAGUGGGUUUUUAUUUGCAUUUGAGGAUUUUCGGCAACAUUAUUUGCAACCGAUUUGCGGGUGUUCUUCAAAGGUUGAUGAGGCCAUGAGCAAUUAAGUGACAUGUCUUCUU